GGUGUUUGCUUCCGUGUGGUGUGUGUGUGUGUGGUGUGUGUGUGUGUGGUGUGUGUGUGUGUGUGUGUGGGUGUGUGUGUGUGUGUGUGUGUUGACAGUGAAGGAGCAGAUGGACGAACGUGUUCUACUGGAGUAAGUUCUCGGCCCUGGGGGCGUUGCCAUGGGAUCCCGGUGGAGUACAAAGCGUGUACAGCGCCGUCUCCCUGGCACCAAUAAGCUGCUGUACAGCCAGAACGAGGAGCGCUAUUACAUGGAGAGGACGACGAAUCACUCAACCUGCGGGGUACUGUAACUUCUCUCGCCGCUCUCUCUCUCUCUCUCUCUCUCUCCUCUCUUUCGUAUCCCUCUCUCUCUCCUUUCUGUAUCCUUCUCUCGCUCCCUCCUCACCCUCACCCUCACCCUUCCCGUCCUCCUCCUCCUCUCUCUCUCUCCUCCUCUCCUCUCUCUCUCUCUCUCUUUCUCUCUCCUCUUUCUCUGUCCUCUCUCUUUCCUUUAUCUCUCUCUCUCUCUCUCUCUCUCUCCCUCUCUUUAUCUCUCUCUCUCUCUCCCUCUCUGCCUCUCUCUCUCUCUCUCACUCACGCUCUGUCUUCUCUCUGUGACUACAGCUCCCAGAAUCCUUUCUUUAGUGUGUAUUCUUGCUUCUCAUGCCAUUUAAAACUCAAUUUUGUACCUACCAUAUUGUAUGGAUUUGUGUACAGGUUUAGACUAUGACUAUGAUUCAGAUGACAAGGCAGAUAAAAUCAAGAACCCCAACUCCCUGCAGAACUCUCUACAGAGCGGCAAGUGGCAGCUGGGAUUCCAAGCAAUGUCCUUUGACCUCUAUGCGAAGUACGGUAACAACCGUACCCUGAGCUUGGUGAGUCCCAAGAAGCCAUACUACCAGUGGCGCCUUCGUGUCCCGUCAGGUCAUGUGGUGCGUCUGGUCGUCCUCACCCUGCACGGAGCCACACCCGGAAGCUGCUCCUCCCACAAACUGUCUGCCUAUGACUUCCUGUUGCCACUACAGAACAAGAUCAUCGCCAGGUAGGACAUAUAACAAUACAUGAACUAUAACAGCCUCCAUUCCUCUGGGAUGCCUUUCCA
rnacentral:lncRNA from 1 species